UACGUAGGGUGCAAGCGUUGUCCGGAAUUACUGGGCGUAAAGCGCACGUAGGCGGAUUUGUUAGUCAGGGGUGAAAUCCCGGGGCUCAACCUCGGAACUGCCUUUGAUACUGCAAGUCUCGAGUCCGGAAGAGGUGAGUGGAAUUCCUAGUGUAGAGGUGAAAUUCGUAGAUAUUAGGAAGAACACCAGUGGCGAAGGCGGCUCACUGGUCCGGUACUGACGCUGAGGUGCGAAAGCGUGGGGAGCAAACAGG
rnacentral:rRNA from 1 species